CGGGUGAGUAACGCGUGAGAAUCUGCCCUCAGGAGGGGGAUAACGGCCGGAAACGGCCGCUAAUACCCCAUAUGCCGAGAGGUGAAAUGAAUUUCGCCUGAGGAUGAGCCCGCGUCUGAUUAGCUAGUUGGUGUGGUAAUGGCGCACCAAGGCGACGAUCAGUAGCUGGUCUGAGAGGAUGAUCAGCCACACUGGGACUGAGACACGGCCCAGACUCCUACGGGAGGCAGCAGUGGGGAAUUUUCCGCAAUGGGCGAAAGCCUGACGGAGCAACGCCGCGUGAGGGAUGAAGGCCUCUGGGCUGUAAACCUCUUUCCUCAAGGAAGAAGACAUGACGGUACUUGAGGAAUAAGCCACGGCUAAUUCCGUGCCAGCAGCCGCGGUAAUACGGGAGUGGCAAGCGUUAUCCGGAAUUAUUGGGCGUAAAGCGUCCGCAGGCGGCCUUGUAAGUCUGUCGUUAAAGCGUGGAGCUUAACUCCAUUUGAGCGAUGGAAACUACAAGGCUUGAGUGUGGUAGGGGCAGAGGGAAUUCCCGGUGUAGCGGUGUAAUGCGUAGAUAUCGGGAAGAACACCAGUGGCGAAGGCGCUCUGCUGGGCCAUAACUGACGCUCAUGGACGAAAGCCAGGGGAGCGAAAGGGAUUAGAUACCCCUGUAGUCCUGGCCGUAAACGAUGAACACUAGGUGUCGGGGGAAUCGACCCCCUCGGUGUCGUAGCUAACGCGUUAAGUGUUCCGCCUGGGGAGUACGCACGCAAGUGUGAAACUCAAAGGAAUUGACGGGGGCCCGCACAAGCGGUGGAGUAUGUGGUUUAAUUCGAUGCAACGCGAAGAACCUUACCAGGGUUUGACAUCCUGCGAAUCCCUUGGAAACGAGGGAGUGCCUUCGGGAGCGCAGAGACAGGUGGUGCAUGGCUGUCGUCAGCUCGUGUCGUGAGAUGUUGGGUUAAGUCCCGCAACGAGCGCAACCCACGUCUUUAGUUGCCAGCAUUCAGUUGGGCACUCUAGAGAGACCGCCGGUGAUAAACCGGAGGAAGGKGUGGAUGACGUCAAGUCAUCAUGCCCCUUACAUCCUGGGCUACACACGUACUACAAUGCUACGGACAARGKGUUGCAAGCUCGCGAGAGUUAGCUAAUCCCAUAAACCGUGGCUCAGUUCAGAUCGUAGGCUGCAACUCGCCUACAUGAAG
rnacentral:rRNA from 1 species